CCUACGGGAGGCAGCAGUGAGGAAUAUUGGUCAAUGGACGAGAGUCUGAACCAGCCAAGUAGCGUGAAGGAUGACUGCCCUAUGGGUUGUAAACUUCUUUUAUAUGGGAAUAAAAUGUUCCACGUGUGGGAUUUUGUAUGUACCAUAUGAAUAAGGAUCGGCUAACUCCGUGCCAGCAGCCGCGGUAAUACGGAGGAUCCGAGCGUUAUCCGGAUUUUUUGGGUGUAAAGGGAGCGUAGGUGGAUUGUUAAGUCAGUUGUGAAAGUUUGCGGCUCAACCGUAAAAUUGCAGUUGAAACUGGCAGUCUUGAGUACAGUAGAGGUGGGCGGAAUUCGUGGUGUAGCGGUGAAAUGCUUAGAUAUCACGAAGAACUCCGAUUGCGAAGGCAGCUCACUGGACUGCAACUGACACUGAGGCUCGAAAGUGUGGGUAUCAAACAGGAUUAGAUACCCCAGUAGUC
rnacentral:rRNA from 1 species